AGAAUCAACGCUGGCGGCGUGCCUAACACAUGCAAGUCGCACGAGAAAGGGUAGCAAUCCAUGAGUAAAGUGGCGCACGGGUGAGUAACACGUGACUAACCUACCCUUGAGUGGGGGAUAACCUAGGGAAACCUGGGCUAAUACCGCAUAAUACCUUCGGGUCAAAGGAGCAAUUCGCUUAAGGAGGGGGUCGCGGCCGAUUAGUUAGUUGGCGGGGUAAUGGCCCACCAAGACUGUGAUCGGUAUCC
rnacentral:rRNA from 1 species